rnacentral:tRNA from 3 species
GGGACUGUAGCUCAGUGGUUAGAGCGGAUGACUCAUAAUCAUUUGGUCGCUGGUUCGACUCCAGCCAGUCCCA